rnacentral:tmRNA from 1 species
GGGGGUGACCGGUUUCGACAGGUUGACGUCGGGGUGCGAUGUGCAGGCGGGGGUUGGUCGGCUGGCCCCCUCAUCAAGCCGAUCGAAACAAAACUGCCAACGAUAACUUCGAACUGGCCCUCGCCGCGUAAGCGGUGAGCGAGUCCCCGUGAUCUUCCGGUAGCGGGCUCGUUAAACCUUCCAAGGGGUGGCUACGGCCUGCCCGACGAAGGGACGGAAUGGGACGCCGCCCCCGCCUCCAAGCGGCGUUCGAGACAAGGAGGCGAGUCCUCGAUCAGGGUUGUCCGUUUCCCCUGCAGAGGUCACGCCCAACGGACCAAGCCUGUGGACGAACACCCAUCCCACGCUUCUUGGACGCGGGUUCAACUCCCGCCACCUCCACCA